rnacentral:lncRNA from 1 species
UGAAGUAUAGUUGAUUUAAAAUGUUGUGAUCAUUUCUGCUAUAGAGCAAAGUAACUCAGCCAUACAGGUACACACAUUCAUUCUUUUUCAGAUUCCGUUCCCAUAGAGAUGGGUCCUCCUAUUAUCACAACAGCCCCCAUUAGGGAAAGGCUUAGGGAGAUUAGACUCACACACCUGGGCAGGUGACAUAAAGAUGGGGGCAGGAUUGGAAUGAUGCACCUGUGAGCAAAGGUGCUUGAUGAAAUACAAGCAAAGGAAGGUCAGAAGCCAGUAAAAGUGGCAAGAGUCAAGGAAUGGAUUCCCCUUAGAACUUCCUAAGGAAGUGAUACUGAUUUAUGAUUUGUUGUCGGAAGCCACUGAGUGUGUGACAUUUUGUUACAACAGCCAGAGAAAAUGAACACUCAGUGGAACCCCUUGGUACUUCACAAAAAUAUUUUAGACGUAAGAGGCAUCCCAGAGAUGGUGUGUAGAAACAGGAACCCAGAGAGGUCAUGAAGUUAAAAGAAACAGGAACCCAGAGAGGUCGUGAAGUUAAAAGAACACAGAAUUUGAAAAAACUUUGGGAAAAAAGAGUACUUGGUUUUCCACAGCCUAUGGAAUGAGAAGGGGUUCAAAUCCAUUACUGUUGUAAUUUGGGUGGUGGCGUCACACAGAGAGAAGGCUCUGAAAGAGUACACCAGAUACAUUAUGGUUAGUUAGUAUUGUUGUGAUUGUGUUGUCAUCAUUGCUGUUUGCUUUAGUCAGGUUGGGCUGCUGUAGUAAACUGCCAGGGACUGUGGGGCUUAAACAACAGACGUUUCUUUCUCACUGCUUGGGAGGCUGGGGAGUCUUGGUAGGGGCUCCAGGAGCCAGCAGAUUUAGUCUUGGUGACAGCUGUCUUCCUGAUUUUCAGAUGUCUGCCUUCUUGCCAUGUCCAUAUAGGGGAGAAAGAAAACUUCCUUUUUUUGUAAAGGAGCUAAUCUCAUUAAGGGGCUCUAAUGUCAUGACCUCAUCUAAACGUAAUUACCUCUGCAAGGGUCCACCUCCUAACAUCCAUCACAGUGGGAUGGUUCCAGCCCUCUUCCAUGUUCAGAAUAUUCUAGAAGCAAACAUGACCUGGGCAGACCACUAGCUCCCUCUAUUGGGAGUGUCUGGAGAUAGAAGAAGAGAAGUACAGGGACUCCAGACUGAGUGAGGGCUAAGGAACAUGCACAGGUUCUCAGAGGAGUAUGGGCCUCAGAUGCGAAUAAUUAUGGAUUCUAGUCAGUUUUAAAAAUUUGAGUGAGCUGAUUUCCUGAUGACUCUCACAGAAGGCAGCCAUCACAUUAAGAGGAAACUUGAACUGUAAUCCCUCAUUUUCUUUUCAUUGCCAUGAAAAAAGUCAGCAUAAUGGGAACUGAUAAGAGAGCCAAAUCACUAAAAUAUGAAAAUCACGGAAUUAGCAUUUAUCCAAAUUCCUCAGCUGAGCCUAUCAUGGAAAAAGCUUGUUUUAAUCACAUCGAGUUGCUUCUUCAUGACUGUGGAGUUUCUUAUGAGCUAAAACACCCUUUAUUCUUAUAGGCAAAAUUAAUGGCUCAACCAAAGAAUUAGAUUAAUGAAGCCAAGAGCCUUGAAGAUCUCCAGGAAAGACAUCUUCAGCAUUUUCAAGUCCUCACCCCAUGAAACAGAUCCUUUGGAAUUAAUCAAUCUAAUGAUCAGCUCCCUCAUGUUUCCUAUGCUCAGCCUCAAAAUUUUGCCCUAUUCAAGGGCUGGGGCAGUUUGCAUGGCCACUGCCUUCUCUCUCAGAUAACAUUGUGAAAGACAAAAUGAGGACCACUGACUUUCUAAGAUCACUGUAAGUCAGGUGAAUUAUACCCAUGGUCCUUAUCUUCAAAGGCUACUGUCAUUGUGGGUUUGGCUUUGCCACAGUGAAGUGCAGAUGUUAAUCUGUCCUACAUAAGGGUGAUUUAAUUGUAAUCCUCAAUUGUGUACGUAAAGAUAUAAUAUCUUCAUGAAAAAAAAUAAUCCUUAUUGUACUGACUAGCUGUUUUAUUUUCUAUUUUUUGACUGCUAAGCAAUUUUUGAAUUAUUAUGUAAAUUCUCUUGAUCUCAUUGAAAAUUAUGUGUUCACUCUGAUCCACAAAAUAAGAACUUGGAAUAGCCAAGUUGGUGAAAUCUUGGAGUAGUCUUUACGGAAUAUUAGUUUGGCAGAACUGAAGGAGCAAUUUCAGUGUGCAAGCCACAGGCUUACACAGUGAUAGCUGUGCUGUGAUUAAUACAUGCCAGGGCAGGUCAGAACACAGUCUCACUGUAGAUACCUGUGAUCUCUUUCCAUCACACCAUGUCUCAAACAUUUCAACUCCUUCCUCAUCAACAGACUCAGGGAUGCCACUAAAAAAUCCCAGAAGGGUGUUAUAGCAACUUAGUUUAUUUCUCUCAGUGUUCAGUUUUAAAAACUUAUCUGCUAUUGUUCUGCUAUGUGAUUUUCACCCACUUUGCCCCCUAAACUCCACUUCCUAAUAUUUUUAAAAGUAUUCUCAAAAGUUAAGUUUUAAGUUCUAAAUGUAUACAUUUAUGUAAAAGUAUAGACAAUCCAUCUUCAUUAUUCAAGGUUUCCAGAUUUGCAAAUUUGCCUACUUACUAAAAUGCAUUUGCAACCCCAUAAUCAACACUUGUGGACUUUCAUGGACAUGUGCAGAAUGGUGAAACAUGUGAGUUGUAUGUUAUUCAAAUUCCCAGCUAAGGUCGAACAAAGAGGUGCUCUGCCUUCUCGUUUCAGCUCUCAUGUUGUACACAAUGUCCUUUUCCUGGUACAUUUAAUGCCAUAUUUUUGGCACUUAUUUAGUUGUUUUUGUAAGUUAUUUCAGUGUCUAAGAUGGGCCUCCAGGGUAAUGCUGAAGUGCUAUUUAGUGUCCCUAAGUGCAAGAAGGCUGUGAAGUGCCUUGUGAGAAAAUGAAUGUCAUAAAGAAGCUUUAUUCAGGCAUGAGUUACAGUGCCAUUGGCCAUGAAAUAAAUGCUAAUCAACACUGUAUAUUAAAUAAGAUGUCUUUUAUCAGAAACACAUAAAACAAAAGCUAGUAUUCAUUAGUUAGCAAAAUAUGUUGUGAUCAGAGGCUUGCAGGAACAUAAUCCCAUAGUUCCUUUAGGAACAGUGGUGCAGGAUUCCCUUAUUCAGUGUUCAUAACUACUUUACAAAAUGUAACUACUAAAAAUAGUGUGAAUCCCCUAUAUUUAUUCGAAGUGGGAUAUUGAUCAGUUCCUAAAAUGCAGGCAUUAAUGAAAUCGGGAAAGGACUGAACUCAGUGUCCUCAAGUGAAUACUUUUGCUCUCCAUUCACAUUGAUCUAAUUGUUUGACUCUUCUGUAAUUCAGGUACCACAUCCUACUGAAAAACAGGAUAAAACAGAGAAAAAAGACGCACUCAUAAAAAGAAAAUAGAGAUUUAUUUCCUAUGAUCACCUCCCUUUCCUUCUGCUCUUAUGUUCUUCUCUAGUGUGUAAAACUGGGUUUGUAUUUGAUUGGAUUGACUGCCAAUAAAUUAUUACCAACUGGAUGUGAUGAGAUUCCUUGAGUUGUUUUCAUAGGAUGAAGACAUCGUUCUGAGACAUAUUUGAAGAUUUACAGACAAAUUGUGAUAUUUUGGAUUUGCUUCAAAAUAAUGCUAAAUGAGUUGGGGACAAAAUGACUUGACACUUGCUGAAGCUGGAUGAGAGGUCCAUGGGCGUCAUUAUCCUCUUAGGUCUACUUUGUCUGCUUUUGAAAUUUUCCAUAAUGAAAGUUGCAGAGAUAAAGAACAAGGUAAGAAAUACCAUUCUUCUGUGCCAAAGCCCAUGCUUGGAGCUUUACAUGUGCUUUU